GACCUAGCCGGGUGGUCUUGCCGAAAGGUAAGCACUGCUUUUGGUCGGGUCUUUCCUUCUGGGGAACCAGCGUGCGCUUGAUUGAGUGCGUUGGGGAUCCAGGACUUUUACUUUGAAAAAAUUAGAGUGUUUAAAGCAGGCUCGCGCUUGAAUACAUUAGCAUGGAAUAAUGAAAUAGGA
rnacentral:rRNA from 1 species